GACGAACGCUGGCGGCGUGCCUAAUACAUGCAAGUAGGACGCAGUUGCGAACGGGUGCGUAACGCGUAGGUAACUACCUGUUAGAGGGGGAUAACUAGUGGAAACGAUAGCUAAUACCGCAUACUAGUAGAUGGACCUGCGUUGUAUUAGCUGGGAGGUAGGGUAAUGGCCUACCUAGGCAACGAUACAUAGCCGACCUGGGAGGGGUGUCGGGCCAAAUUGGACCGAGACACGGCCCAGACUCCUUCGGGAGGGAGCAGUAGGGAAUCUUCGGCCAUGGGGGGAACGCUGACCGAGCAACGCCGCGUGAGUGAAGAAGGUCUUCGGAUCGUAAAGCUCUGUUGUUAAGGAAGCGGUACUUACCCAGAAAGGGACGGCUAACUACGUGCCAGCAGCCGCGGUAAUAC
rnacentral:rRNA from 1 species